GUCGGACACGACUGAGCAACUGAACUGAACUGAAUGUGGUCCUUUCCUCCAGGGAGAUGUGCAUACAAGGGAUGCGACUGCUGCUGUCUAAUUGAUAAGCCAUGUUAUGUCCUACUCUGCAACACUGCGGACUGUAGCCUGACAGACUCCUCAGUCCAUAGGAUUGGGUUGCCAUUUGCCCCCCUUUAAAAGAACUAUCUAGGAGAGGCGUGAAGCUGAAGCUCCAGUACUUUGGCCACCCGAUGUGAAGAGCCAACUCAUUGGAAAAGCCCUCAUGCUGGGAAAGAUUGAAGGCAGGAGGAGAAGGGGACGACAGAGGAUGAGAUGGUUGGAUGGCAGCACUGACUCAAUGGACAUGAGUUUGCAAGCUCUGGGAGUUGGUGAUGAACAGAGAAACCUGCCAUGCUGCAGUCCAUAGGGUCACAAAGAAUGGGACACAGCUGAGCAGCUGGACUGCACUGAGGAGAGCUGUCACUGUGGACGGGCAGCCAGCUCUGAAAGCUGGGCCCCUGUGUGCAGGCGGCUGACCGGCUCCUGAUACUGAACAGUUUCUGUGGCUGGUCUUACAAGCUGCCAAGCAGAUCAAGCCGUGACUGCCAGUAACAGCCCGCUGCCCGCGGGACGGACAGCAGGGGCAGAGGGCGGCUCUGGAGAGGCUCGAUAACUUGUCUGCUGCGAGUUUGCUGCACGUGUGCCAUCAAGGGCUCUUCACUCAAGACUCUCCACACCCCGCCCCACCCCGCCCUGCCGAGCACCCGGUGCCCUUCCUUCCUCAAGCCCCACCUCCCCAAGCCGCUCUGCAUCGCCGCACCACUCCCCUGUGGGGACCACGAGAGCCAGCUGGUGCCCUCCAGGCACACCUCAUGCUUGUCCCACAGGGAAAGCUCCCGGUUGAAGUGCCCCGCUCGAGCCUCUUGGAGCCUUUUGUUGAUUGGCAGGACUCUGCACCAUGGAGGCAGGGACUACGUGGCCAAGGUGUAAAAAUGCCCUCACCCCACUCAUACCUGACCGCGUCUGGACCGAAGGCCUGGUGGUGGGAGGAGAGGCAGUUACAGAGCUGCGACACUGACUUCAUGGCCAGGGAGCGAGGGCAGCACUCCGACUCCCCGGACGGGAGCAUCUUGGGCCCCGGGAGAUGUAGGGGUGUGGCGGGAGGCAAGGUCUUCAUGCUUGCAGCCAACCCUCUGGCCUGCAGCUGCUCUGUCACCACUGGCCCCCGCGCUCCUGCCCGUGGCCAGGUGCGGGACUGUUCUGCUGGGUCUCAGGCCACCUGCAGCAGCUCUGACACACACACCUCGCUUCAGUCUGCCUCGUACAAAGUCACGGGCUUCGUCUCAUGCCCCAGGGCCACCCAUAACAACAGAGGCUGUAACUACCCAGUGACAUCUGCGGUUUACCUUAAUCAGGCUGUUCAUUGCCAUAAACAGAUUCUAUGACUAUAAUUCACAUGCCGUACACUUCACCCAUUUAGGGUGAACAGUUCGCUGGUUUACAAGACAUUGACAGAGUCGCGCCAGCAUCACCUCGCUGAGUUAGAACACUCAUUACUGCAUAAAAACCUGCCCUCUAGCGUGCCCACCACCCCCUCUGCAGCUUCUGGCAACCACCACCCUACUCUCUGCCUCUAUGGCUUCGCCCGUUCUGGACAGUUACUGCACACAGAAUCGUGCCCCCGUUCUGGACAGUUACUGCGCACAGAAUCGUGCCCCCGUUCUGGACAUUCACUGUGCAUAGAAUCGUGCCCUUUCAUAGAUCACAGCUUUGUCAUGGGGAAGGGGCUCGAGUAACUCCAUAAAGCUGUGAGCCAUGCCAUGCCAACCUAACAUGGGUGGUCACAGUGGAGCGUUCUCACAAGACAUGGUUCACUGGAGGAGGAAAUGGCAAACCACUCCACUAUUUUUGCUGUGAGAACCUCAUGAACAGUAUGAAAAGGGCAAAAAGAUACGACACCGGAAGAUGAGCCCCUCAGGUCAGAAGUUGUCCGAUAUGCUACUGGGAAAGAGUGGAGGACAGUUACUAACAGCUCCAGGAAGAAUGAAGCAGCCACGGCAACACGAAACAACACUCAGCUGUGGAUGUGUCUGGGGAUGAAAGUGAAAUCCCGUGCUGCGAAGAACAGCAUUGUAUAGGAACUUAGGGAUCAGUGAACUAAAGGGACAGGAAUGGACGAAUUUAGGAAUGAAUGGAUGAAUGGAUGAAUUUAGGGAUCAGUGAGCUAAAGGGGCAGGAAUGGACGAAUUUAGGAAUGAAUGGAUGAAUGGAUGAAUUUAGGAAUCAGUGAACUAAAGGGACAGGAAUGGACGAAUUUAGGAAUGAAUGGAUGAAUGGAUGAAUUUAGG
ensembl:lncRNA